AGUGAACGCUGGCGGUAGGCCUAACACAUGCAAGUCGAACGGCAGCACAGUAAGAGCUUGCUCUUACGGGUGGCGAGUGGCGGACGGGUGAGGAAUACAUCCGCAUCUACUUUUUCGCGGUGGAUAACGUAGGGAAACUUACGCUAAUACCGCAUACGACCUACGGGUGAAAGCAGGGGAUCUUCGGACCUUGCGCGACUGAAUGAGCCGAUGUCGGAUUAGCUAGUUGGCGGGGUAAAGGCCCACCAAGGCGACGAUCCGUAGCUGGUCUGAGAGGGUGAUCAGCCACACUGGAACUGAGACACGGCCCAGACUCCUACGGGAGGCAGCAGUGGGGAAUAUUGGACAAUGGGCGCAAGCCUGACCCAGCAAUACCGCGUGGGUGAAGAAGGCCUUCGGGUUGUAAAGCCCUUUUGUUGGGAAAGAAAAGCAGCAGGUGAAUACCACGCUGUUCUGACGGUACCCAAAGAAUAAGCACCGGCUAACUUCGUG
rnacentral:rRNA from 1 species